GAUGAACGCUAGCGGGAGGCUUAAUACAUGCAAGUCGAGGGGCAGCAUGAGACUUCGGUCUUGAUGGCGACCGGCGCACGGGUGAGUAACGCGUACACUACCUACCUUUUACUGAGGGAUAGCCCUGGGAAACUGGGAUUAAUACCUCAUGUGCUCGCAAGAGUAAAGCUUUCGGGCGGUAGAAGAUGGGUGUGCGUAUGAUUAGCUAGUUGGUGAGGUAACGGCUCACCAAGGCGACGAUCAUUAGGGGGCGUGAGAGCGUGACCCCCCACACGGGUACUGAGACACGGACCCGACUCCUACGGGAGGCAGCAGUAAGGAAUAUUGGACAAUGGGGGCAACCCUGAUCCAGCCAUCCCGCGUGCAGGAUGACGGCCCUAUGGGUUGUAAACUGCUUUUAUUUGGGAAGAACUCCUGUCAUUUAUGACGGGCUGACGGUACCAUAUGAAUAAGCACCGGCUAACUCCG
rnacentral:rRNA from 1 species